rnacentral:rRNA from 1 species
GACGAACGCUGGCGGCGUGCUUAACACAUGCAAGUCGAACGGAAAGGCCCUGCUUUUGUGGGGUGCUCGAGUGGCGAACGGGUGAGUAACACGUGAGUAACCUGCCCUUGACUUUGGGAUAACUUCAGGAAACUGGGGCUAAUACCGGAUAGGAGCUCCUGCUGCAUGGUGGGGGUUGGAAAGUUUCGGCGGUUGGGGAUGGACUCGCGGCUUAUCAGCUUGUUGGUGGGGUAGUGGCUUACCAAGGCUUUGACGGGUAGCCGGCCUGAGAGGGUGACCGGCCACAUUGGGACUGAGAUACGGCCCAGACUCCUACGGGAGGCAGCAGUGGGGAAUAUUGCACAAUGGGCGGAAGCCUGAUGCAGCAACGCCGCGUGCGGGAUGACGGCCUUCGGGUUGUAAACCGCUUUCGCCUGUGACGAAGCGUGAGUGACGGUAAGGGGUAAAGAAGCACCGGCUAACUACGUGCCAGCAGCCGCGGUGAUACGUAGGGUGCGAGCGUUGUCCGGAUUUAUUGGGCGUAAAGGGCUCGUAGGUGGUUGAUCGCGUCGGAAGUGUAAUCUUGGGGCUUAACCCUGAGCGUGCUUUCGAUACGGGUUGACUUGAGGAAGGUAGGGGAGAAUGGAAUUCCUGGUGGAGCGGUGGAAUGCGCAGAUAUCAGGAGGAACACCAGUGGCGAAGGCGGUUCUCUGGGCCUUUCCUGACGCUGAGGAGCGAAAGCGUGGGGAGCGAACAGGCUUAGAUACCCUGGUAGUCCACGCUGUAAACGGUGGGUACUAGGUGUGGGGUCCAUUCCACGGGUUCCGUGCCGUAGCUAACGCUUUAAGUACCCCGCCUGGGGAGUACGGCCGCAAGGCUAAAACUCAAAGGAAUUGACGGGGCCCCGCACAAGCGGCGGAGCAUGCGGAUUAAUUCGAUGCAACGCGUAGAACCUUACCUGGGUUUGACAUGGAUCGGGAGUGCUCAGAGAUGGGUGUGCCUCUUUUGGGGUCGGUUCACAGGUGGUGCAUGCCUGUCGUCAGCUCGUGUCGUGAGAUGUUGGGUUAAGUCCCGCAACGAGCGCAACCCUUGUUCACUGUUGCCAGCACGUUAUGGUGGGGACUCAGUGGAGACCGCCGGGGUCAACUCGGAGGAAGGUGGGGAUGACGUCAAGUCAUCAUGCCCCUUAUGUCCAGGGCUUCACGCAUGCUACAAUGGCUGGUACAGAGAGUGGCGAGCCUGUGAGGGUGAGCGAAUCUCGGAAAGCCGGUCUCAGUUCGGAUUGGGGUCUGCAACUCGACCUCAUGAAGUCGGAGUCGCUAGUAAUCGCAGAUCAGCAACGCUGCGGUGAAUACGUUCCCGGGGCU